GUAUUGGGGAAUGGCUUGAGGAGAAAGGGCAUGGUGGGGAUACUGACCCUUUGUAUUAAGAGAAAUGUUUUAGUCAGGAUGGGUAGGCCCGGGUAGGCCUCAGUUAGCAUGAGAAUGACUAGGCAAGUGGAAAAGUACUGACCGAAAGUAACAGUAAGAUAAAAAUGCUGACCGCAGGUUACUGAAGGUCACAGAACAGCUUGUUGCAAGCAACUUUGUGGAAGUGUAUUCGGGAGGAUAAGGAACUAGCAUACCAGAGAAAUCGCAAGUAGGGCUGAGCUAAUUUGCUAUGCACUCCAAUCAUAUAAUGACUAGUAGGCAUAAUUAAUGAUAACAGUAUAUAAGCAAGCUGUGUCCGAUCAAUAAACGAAGUAUGCUUAUCACUCAUAUUGAGUCGACUGCAUUUCUUCCUCCGCACGCGGGUCCUGAACUCUGAAGCGUUUCCCAACAUCUGGCGCCCGAACAGGGACCCGUGCUGCGGAUUAGGUCGAGGAACGGCACCGGUUUGGCAGCGGCCGGUGGGCAAGAGCAACCGAACAUUGUACUGCGAUGUGUUGACUCCGACGCCUGGGCGAUUGAAGUUUUAAGCUCGCCGUAUACGGGCACACUGGAAGGCUGCAAAGAGGUUUUUUGAGCUCAAGAAGAGGUAUUUAUUUAUAUUAUGAGUACAGAGGUUAUGGAUUUCGAGGUGGCCCUAGAUAUUUUACAAAGCUUUUUAGAAAAGCGAGGGGUUAAUUAUAGUUGCGUUAAACAGCUAGCUGGUCUAGUAGCAACGGGGAAAAACUAAGGGGUGUUUUCAGGAUCCUGAUUUAUUGUUUGAUGAAGGAGAGUGGAGGAAAUUAGGGGACGUGUUGUGGGAUAUGGUCAUAGACGAGGAUAAAACAGCUAAGAAACUGAGGAAACCGUGGAGGGAAGUAAUUAAUAAUAUUAAGCGUCAUAAAGUGAAAAAGAAUUUAGCCGCGGUAGCUUCACAGAAACUCGGCAAAAUGGAGCCUUCCGCUCCGCCGAUGGAAACGGGCAUAUCUGCGUUAUCAGCGAAGAACCUUAAAAGACUAUUAACUUGGUGCAGAGGCAAUAGGUAUCCUGCUGACCUGUCAGGAGUUUUUCAAAUAGAGACUUGGAAAAAGAUGGGAACUGUGUUGUGGAAGGCAAUUAGUCACCGCGAAAGAUAUAUUCUCGGCCUUGUAACCAUCUGGAAACUGAUAAAUACUACAAUGAAGCAAUUAAAACCUGAAAAGACUGUUACGAGCAUUAGUGACUCAAAACUUGAACUUUGGGACAGUGUAGAGCAGAAAUUAUGGGAUAAAGUCAGCAAUGGACAUACAGAAGCUAAAUCAUUAGUAACUACAUGGAAGCUUGAACGGUCUGCUGCUGCCGGAAUUUUUGCAGCGUUGCAGCCUGAUAAGUAUCCUGAAAGUUGCGGUGAAAUUCACCCGGUUUGUGUCUGCGAUACCCUCCCUAUGCAAUCCCCUGCUGUGCUUUCGGCACCCCCGAUGGUUCAGCAGCUUGCUGCGGGGGGAGGAACAAUGCCAAACGGUUAGCCUCCUGUACCAUCAUCUAACCCUGGUGAGAACAGCAAGUUCAGAGGAUUGGUGUCAGACAACUUACUCAAAGAACCUGUGAAAGCUGAGAAUGUUAAAGUCGUAAACAAGUGUACUAUCAGUUCCUUUUACCAAUUUUGCCAAUCUGCUUUUCCUGCAUUUUAACCCUCUAACUUCCACGAGAGAACAGAAGAAGUCACUGAAAAUAGAACUGGACAACAGAACUGUGUGAGAUCAGUUAACAGCAAGUGAAUCUGACAGUCGGCAAUGUGGUCAUGAUAAUCGUGACGGGAAAAGGGGUGUUUCUGGGGACUCGGGGUAUAAAACUUAGAAGUUAAGGAAGCACUGGUUUUGGAAUUGGCAGUAGAGAAUGCUAAAGUUUGCUAUCAACAUGUUAUUUGUGAGUUUUACAGUGCAUAUUAUGUGCUGCUGUUUAUUGCCUCUCUGAAAGUCAAGCAGCUUGUCAGGAAUGUGAGUUAAUUGUUUUACUGGUUGUUGUUAGAACUGUUUCUUUGUGGUAUAAGUGCACCGUAAAACUUUGUCUCCACUUUUCCCACUCACGCUGCAAGCAGCCCUGUGCUUUUCCGUGGGGUCAGAAAUUACUGUUUUCAGUCGUGUUCAUAAAAAAUCGGUAUUGGGAGGUGUUUCAAAACAUAGGGAAGCACUUGGAAAUAUGAGGAAAGAAGAUCUUGUAAAAUAUUGUAAUUAAUGGUGGCUGCUGUAUAAGUUAAAUGAUUGGGAAAAGUGUCUGGGGAAUAGAAUCUUGAAGUAUAACACCUUAUUGCAAUUAAUGUUGUUUUUAGGGUGAGAAGAGUAAGACAAAAUAAAUCCCUACAAGAGAUCAUUAAAUCAUUUCAGACAGCUGAGAGAGAGUUAACUGAUAACACGCAGGUCACAGUAAACUUGCUGAAGUCGGCACAAUGUUUUCCUUAUUAGCCUGUUUUCUUUGUGGGUAUCUGUUUAAGCAUGUUGCAAUUUUGGUAGGUCUUUGUUAUAUGGUACAGUAAGUUCACAGACUGUUAAAUCAUGAGAAUCGGUUGACUCAAAAGGUGCGUUUUGUGAUAGUAUAAAAGAUCAUGAGUAAUUUAGCUCCCUACUGCAUGAACAUGAUGUUAAGAUUUUAUGUGUAGUAGCUGUUAUAUUUUUUUUUUCUAGUGUACUAGCUUUAUUCCAAUAUCCAGACUUGCGCAACUCUGUGACAGGCUGUCUCUCAUCUCGGUGCACUAAAUUUGGCCUUUUUGUAUGCACAUCAAGUGAAGAAUCAUGGUUUUAGAAUAACAGUUGUAGCGCACCAAAUGAGACACUAAUAAAAGGCCUUGCCCAGUCCAGCUUGCUGCGGGGGGGGGGGCGGAUGCCAAAUGGGGCUCCAGCGCGCACUGACCCAUUUUGUCAGGGAGACCCAGAGGUAUCUCCACCUGGCUGAGCAGUAAGCGGUUCAAGGUGCAAUGCAAAAAAUUGAGAUAUUGUCUUAAAUUGGUGUAAGUGUGAUUCAUCUGCUUAUUUGAACUUGGUAUAUGGUUUUCGUAUCUGAGCUCAGUAUUUUAGUUUGUAUAUUCAUAUUUGGUACCAAAAGAAUCUUGUUUGGGGAGAUAAUUACAAUGGGAACCGGUUCCACUGCUAAAAUUCCACCUUGCUCCCCCUUAGGAUGCAUCCUUACACAUUAAAGUAAUUGCUUAUAUUGCUAGAAAAGCAUUUAAGUUGUUAAAAUACUAUGAUAGAUGUGAACUUGGGGUAUUGUAUGAAGUUAUGAAGUUGUAUUUAAAGGUUGCUGGAAUGUGAACUGAUUUGGAUCUAGGACAAUAGAAUAAUGGAUUUAUGUUUAUUAUACUGGUUUAUACUGUUUUUUUUUGACAUCUCUAAAUUGUAAAAGGUAAAUGGAGCUAAAGAAUGUGACUAUUGCUGAGCUACUUGAAAUUGCAUAUAAAGUGUAUUAUGGCUGAAAUGAAAUGGGAAAACAAAGAGCAAAGUAUCCCAAGCCUGUGUGCAGCUCAUUGUAACUGAGAAGUUUCCCAGAGCCUCCUACUUCGUACCAGCCAGUAUGCCAGCUGCGUGACCUUGGUUAUAUCUACACUGCACAGAAAGAAAAAACAACUGGAAAAACGUGGCUGCCCGCUUUUAAAGCAGUGAAAGGGGGGGUUCUCUCUCCCCCCACUGCAGCGAUGUAAUACUGAAUGGAGCCGUUCGAGGGUGAAGUUUAAAGGCAUCCUGAGCAGACCCGUAGUUUUAAUUAAACUGGACAAUUAAACCAAAAAUUUGUCGAUGGACUUAUCCUAUGGUAAUUAAUUGUACGAGACUUCUUAGUAAAUUCACCAUGCUAGUUUUUGAGGACAUGGGAGACAACGAAAGAAAGGCCGUUUUUUGAGACAAACGGAAUGCCAAAUAUGGAACAAAGUUUUAAUACGUGAAUUCUUGUAUUUGCCUAAAAGUCCUAUACCUCUCUUGGGUCAGGAUUUGUUAAGUGAAUUGUAAGCUCAAAUAACGUUUUCUGAGAAUUCUGUUUAGUUGCAUAUCCUACAGGAAGGUGCUUGGAUGUUGCAGAUCUGCUUGUGCAAGUGAGAAAUCUUCAAGGAACUUAGCAGCCAAUGUUUUUGAUAAAGCAAAUACUACCCUGAGAAAUCUGAAACAGGACUUCAAUCCGAUCAGGAGCUGCAAUGGUUGCCAGCACGAAACGUGAAACCUGUGUUAUCUUCCUGACAAUGAUUGUUGCAGCUGCUGUGUUUUGGAUGCAUGCACAGACAAAGACUAACAUGUGGAUUACUUUAGCCAACAUGACUGACCACCUAUAUGCCUAACUACGAUGUCUCUGGAAAAAACGUUCUACACAUGCUUGGUUGGUGUCUUCCUUGAUGACUACAGCAGCAUCACACGACUGUUUCAAAUAGUGGUUGAUGCAGAGGCAUUGCAACGAACUGUAAUAAUACUAACACGGCACUUUGGAUUAAUUGCCACCUGGAAGCAGACAUCGAACCACAGGAACUGGAAUUGCUGGCAUCUAUGCCCAUGGAUGCUUGUAUUCAGCCGGUUUGUGAAAAGUGUCAGAACAGUAUACAAGAAAAUGAAUGGACAAACUACAAAAUGUUAAUGCUACCCUUGGUGACUACAAAAAUGAAACUCGACGGUGUAAUGCUUCACAGAAGAACGCAAGGGAUAUCAUUGACAGCGACCCUAAAACCUCCUGUAUGGUGUAUUCUUGAUCUGUGAAGAUAGAGCCUAACCAGGAAUUCCUUCUAACGCUGUUGGAGGACUGUGUAUUUUGGGACUAUUAACUCUCUUAACGUCCAAUGUAUCUAUGAUAAUAGAUCACAAAAGAGCAAGACGAGAAAAACAUUUUUAUGGAUUUACAGAAUAAGUCGAGAUCCAUCCAUGAGGAGAUUAAACAACUUAUGGAUCAUACACAAAAGAUCCAGAAAGAUGUGGGCUUCUUUGGGCUAGAGGGGCUGUCAAACUGGUUUGGGUUAGGAGGAUGGUUAAAAGGGCUUUUGCAAAGUAUGCUUAUGUUACUUAUUAUAAUAAUUGUAGUAGCAAUGUGCAUAAGUUGUACCUUUUCAUGUCUUCGAAAGCUUUUUGAACGCACCAUGAAUCAAGCAAUGCUCGCGCAAAAAGAAAAAGGGGGAAUUAUUGGGGAAUGGCUUGAGGAGAAAGGGCAUGGUGGGGAUACUGACCCUUUGUAUUAAGAGAAAUGUUUUAGUCAGGAUGGGUAGGCCCGGGUAGGCCUCAGUUAGCAUGAGAAUGACUAGGCAAGUGGAAAAGUACUGACCGAAAGUAACAGUAAGAUAAAAAUGCUGACCGCAGGUUACUGAAGGUCACAGAACAGCUUGUUGCAAGCAACUUUGUGGAAGUGUAUUCGGGAGGAUAAGGAACUAGCAUACCAGAGAAAUCGCAAGUAGGGCUGAGCUAAUUUGCUAUGCACUCCAAUCAUAUAAUGACUAGUAGGCAUAAUUAAUGAUAACAGUAUAUAAGCAAGCUGUGUCCGAUCAAUAAACGAAGUAUGCUUAUCACUCA